rnacentral:rRNA from 1 species
UACGUAGGGGGCAAGCGUUGUCCGGAAUCAUUGGGCGUAAAGCGCGUGUAGGCGGCCAGGUAGGUCCGCUGUGAAAGUCCGAGGCUCAACCUCGGAAUGUCGGCGGAAACCCUCUGGCUAGAGUCCGGAAGAGGAGAGUGGAAUUCCCGGUGUAGCGGUGAAAUGCGCAGAUAUCGGGAAGAACACCCGUGGCGAAGGCGGCUCUCUGGAACGGUACUGACGCUGAGACGCGAAAGCGUGGGGAGCGAACAGG